rnacentral:rRNA from 1 species
UACAGAGGGGGCAAGCGUUGUUCGGAAUUACUGGGCGUAAAGGGCGCGUAGGCGGCCGACUAAGUCAGACGUGAAAUCCCCUGGCUCAACCAGGGAACUGCGUCUGAUACUGGACGGCUUGAGUUCGGGAGAGGGAAGUGGAAUUCCAGGUGUAGCGGUGAAAUGCGUAGAUAUCUGGAGGAACACCGGUGGCGAAGGCAGCACUCUGGGCCGGUACUGACGCUGAGGAGCGAAAGCGUGGGGAGCAAACAGG